AGUCAAGUAAUGAAGUGCACAUGGUGGAUGCCUUGGCAGUCAGAGGCGAUGAAAGACGUGACAGCCUGCGAAAAGCGUCGGGGAGGCGGCAAUAUCCUGUGAUCCGGCGAUAUCUGAAUGGGGAAACCCACUUGUCAUAAGACAGGUAUCGUAAAUUUAUUUACGAGGCAAACCGGGAGAAGUGAAACAUCUCAGUAACCCGAGGAAAAGACAUCAAUAGAGAUUCCCCUAGUAGCGGCGAGCGAACGGGGAGGAGCCGACUGAUUAUAAUUUAGAGGAAUGACUUGGAAAGGUCAAUCGUAGAGGGUGAUAAUCCCGUACUCGAAAGGUUAUAAGAAGCAUAUUAAGUAGGGCGGAACACGAGAAAUUCUGUCUGAAGAUGGGGGGACCAUCCUCCAAGGCUAAAUACUCCUGACUGACCGAUAGUGAACCAGUACCGUGAGGGAAAGGCGAAAAGAACCCCUGUGAGGGGAGUGAAAUAGAACCUGAAACCGUGUGCAUACAAGCAGUCGGAGCGGACAUGUUCCGUGACGGCGUACCUUUUGUAUAAUGGGUCAGCGACUUAUAUUCUGUAGCAAGGUUAACCGAAUAGGGGAGCCGUAGGGAAACCGAGUCUUAAUAGGGCGUCUAGUUGCAGGGUAUAGACCCGAAACCGAGUGAUCUAUCCAUGAGCAGGUUGAAAGUGACGUAACAGUUACCGGAGGACCGAACCCACUGUCGUUGAAAAGCCAGGGGAUGACUUGUGGAUAGGGGUGAAAGGCUAAUCAAACUCGGUGAUAGCUGGUUCUCCCCGAAAGCUAUUUAGGUAGCGCCUCGGACGAACACCAUUGGGGGUAGAGCACUGUUUCGGCUAGGGGGUCAUCCCGACUUACCAAACCGAUGCAAACUCCGAAUACCGAUGAGUGAUAUCCGGGAGACAGACGGCGGGUGCUAACGUCCGUCGUCAAGAGGGAAACAACCCAGACCGCCAGCUAAGGCCCCAAAUUCCUAGUUAAGUGGGAAACGAUGUGGGAAGGCACAGACAGCUAGGAGGUUGGCUUAGAAGCAGCCAUCCUUUAAAGAAAGCGUAAUAGCUCACUAGUCGAGUCGGCCUGCGCGGAAGAUGUAACGGGGCUCAAACUAGGAGCCGAAGCUGCGGAUUUAAUUGUUUCAAUUAAGUGGUAGGGGAGCAUUGUGUAAGCCUGUGAAGGUGUGUUGUAAAGCAUGCUGGAGGUAUCACAAGAGCGAAUGCUGACGUGAGUAACGACAAAACGGGUGAAAAGCCCGUUCGCCGGAAGACCAAGGGUUCCAGUCCAACGUUAAUCGGGGCUGGGUGAGUCGACCCCUAAGGCGAGGCCGAAAGGCGUAGUCGAUGGGAAAUCGGUUAAUAUUCCGAUACUUGUUUAUGAUGCGAUGGAGGGACGGAGAAGGUUAUGCCAGCUUGGCGAUGGUUGUCCAAGUGGAAGGAUGUAGUUAGGUUUAGUAGGCAAAUCCGCUAGACUAUUAAUGAGAUCUGAUAGCAAGCUGUACUUGUACAGCGAAGUGGCAAAUACCCUGCUUCCAGGAAAAGCUUCUAAGCGAUAGUCAUAAAGAAAUCGUACCCGAAACCGACACAGGUGGUCAGGUAGAGAAUACCAAGGCGCUUGAGAGAACUCUGCUGAAGGAACUAGGCAAAAUGGUACCGUAACUUCGGGAGAAGGUACGCUGCCGAUGGUGAGUAGUCACGCACUACAAAGCUAUUGGCAGUCGCAGAUACCAGGCCGCUGCAACUGUUUAUUAAAAACACAGCACUCUGCAAACACGAAAGUGGACGUAUAGGGUGUGAUGCCUGCCCGGUGCUGGAAGGUUAAUUGAUGGGGUUAGCGUAAGCGAAGCUCUUGAUCGAAGCCCCAGUAAACGGCGGCCGUAACUAUAACGGUCCUAAGGUAGCGAAAUUCCUUGUCGGGUAAGUUCCGACCUGCACGAAUGGCAUAAUGAUGGCGGCGCUGUCUCCAGCAGAGACUCAGUGAAAUCGAAAUCGCAGUGAAGAUGCUGUGUACCCGCGGCUAGACGGAAAGACCCCGUGAACCUUUACUACAGCUUUACAUUGAACUUUGACCUUACCUGUGUAGGAUAGGUGGGAGGCUUUGAAGCAGGCACGCCAGUGUCUGUGGAGCCAUCCUUGAAAUACCACCCUGGUAAUGUUGGGGUUCUAACUCAAGCUUAACAGAGCUGAGGACAAUGUAUGGUGGGUAGUUUGACUGGGGCGGUCUCCUCCUAAAGAGUAACGGAGGAGUACGAAGGUGCGCUCAGAACGGUCGGAAAUCGUUCGAAGAGUAUAAAGGCAAAAGCGCGCUUAACUGCGAGACCCACAAGUCGAGCAGAUACGAAAGUAGGUCUUAGUGAUCCGGUGGUUCUGUAUGGAAGGGCCAUCGCUCAACGGAUAAAAGGUACUCUGGGGAUAACAGGCUGAUACCGCCCAAGAGUUCAUAUCGACGGCGGUGUUUGGCACCUCGAUGUCGGCUCAUCUCAUCCUGGGGCUGAAGCAGGUCCCAAGGGUAUGGCUGUUCGCCAUUUAAAGAGGUACGCGAGCUGGGUUUAGAACGUCGUGAGACAGUUCGGUCCCUAUCUACCGUGGGCGUUGGAAAUUUGAGAGGAUCUGCUCCUAGUACGAGAGGACCAGAGUGGACGAACCUCUGGUGUUUCGGUUGUGACGCCAGUCGCAUUGCCGAGUAGCUAUGUUCGGAUGGGAUAACCGCUGAAAGCAUCUAAGCGGGAAGCCCACCUUAAGAUUAGAUUUCCCUAAAGAGCCGUUGUAGACUACGACGUUGAUAGGUUGGGUGUGGAAGCAUAGUGAUAUGUGUAGCUAACCAAUACUAAUUGCUCGUUUGGCUUGACUAU
rnacentral:rRNA from 1 species